rnacentral:misc_RNA from 1 species
AUUUCGUAUUAAUAAUUUUUCAGACAAUGCCAUGUUCUAUACGUGUUCAGUUAACCAACUUGCGAGUCAAGACUCGAAGCUUGUUUGAAAAAACCAAAAAUGAUCCUUCCGCAGGUUCACCUACGGAAA